rnacentral:tRNA from 1 species
GGAGUGGUACUCAAGAGGCUGAAGAGGCGCCCCUGCUAAGGGUGUAGAUCGGGUAACUGGUGCGAGGGUUCAAAUCCCUCCCGCUCCG